rnacentral:rRNA from 1 species
UACGGAGGGUGCAAGCGUUAAUCGGAAUUACUGGGCGUAAAGCGCACGCAGGUGGCUGAGUCAGUCGAUUGUGAAAGCCCUGGGCUUAACCUGGGAAUUGCAGUCGAUACUACUCAGCUAGAGGAUGGGGGAGGAGCGCGGAAUUCCCGGUGUAGCGGUGAAAUGCGUAGAGAUCGGGAGGAAGGCCGGUGGCGAAGGCGGCGCUCUGGAACAUUUCUGACGCUGAGGCUCGAAAGCGUGGGUAGCAAACAGG